rnacentral:rRNA from 1 species
GAUCCUGGCUUAGGAUGAACGCUAGCGACAGGCUUAACACAUGCAAGUCGAGGGGCAGCAUGAUUUGUAGCAAUACAGAUUGAUGGCGACCGGCGCACGGGUGAGUAACGCGUAUGCAACUUACCUAUCAGAGGGGGAUAGCCCGGCGAAAGUCGGAUUAAUACCCCCAUAAAACAGGGGUCCCGCAUGGGAAUAUUUGUUAAAGAUUCAUCGCUGAUAGAUAGGCAUGCGUUCCA